UAACACUAACUGGAGGACCGAACCGACUAAUGUUGAAAAAUUAGCGGAUGACUUGUGGCUGGGGGUGAAAGGCCAAUCAAACCGGGAGAUAGCUGGUUCUCCCCGAAAGCUAUUUAGGUAGCGCCUCGUGAAUUCAUCUCCGGGGGUAGAGCACUGUUUCGGCAAGGGGGUCAUCCCGACUUACCAACCCGAUGCAAACUGCGAAUACCGGAGAAUGUUAUCACGGGAGACACACGGCGGGUGCUAACGUCCGUCGUGAAGAGGGAAACAACCCAGACCGCCAGCUAAGGUCCCAAAGUCAUGGUUAAGUGGGAAACGAUGUGGGAAGGCCCAGACAGCCAGGAUGUUGGCUUAGAAGCAGCCAUCAUUUAAAGAAAGCGUAAUAGCUCACUGGUCGAGUCGGCCUGCGCGGAAGAUGUAACGGGGCUAAACCAUGCACCGAAGCUGCGGCAGCGACACUAUGUGUUGUUGGGUAGGGGAGCG
rnacentral:rRNA from 1 species